GCAAACUUGGUCAUUUAGAGGAAGUAAAAGUCGUAACAAGGUUUCCGUAGGUGAACCUGCGGAAGGAUCAUUACCGAGUACCGGAGCUCUCGGGCUCCUACUCCCACCCCAUGUUGACUUUGAAUGUUGCUUUGGCGGACCGGUGAUCUCACCGCCGGCCUAGGCUGGAGAGCGUCCGCCGGAGGAUUUUAAACUCUGUUCAAUGGUGAAUUCUGAGUCUUGAUAAAUUGAAUCAAAACUUUCAACAACGGAUCUCUUGGUUCUGGCAUCGAUGAAGAACGCAGC
rnacentral:misc_RNA from 1 species